rnacentral:siRNA from 1 species
AGUAGGUGAUUGCCCACUAUGGCC